rnacentral:misc_RNA from 1 species
GAUGAAGAACUCAGCGAAAUGCGAUAAGUAAUGUGAAUUGCAGAAUUUAGUGAAUCAUCGAAUCUUUGAACGCACAUUGCGCCCCUUGGUAUUCCGAGGGGCAUGCCUGUUCGAGCGUCAUAACACCCCCUCCAGCUGCCUUUGUGUGGCUGCGGUGUUGGGGCACGUCGCGAUGCGGCGGCCCUUAAAGACAGUGGCGGUCCCGGCGUGGGCUCUACGCGUAGUAACUUGCUUCUCGCGACAGAGUGACGACGGUGGCUUGCCAGAACAACCCUCUUUUGCUCCAGUCACAUGGAUCACAGGUUGACCUCGAAUCAGGUAGGAAUACCCGCUGAACUUAAGCAUAUCAAUAAGCGGAGGA